ACAGGUUUCUGGCCAUCCCUGUCUCUGUCCCUGGGUGUUCCCUUACACCACUUGGUCUCCAGUGUCUCUGAGCUGAAGCAGCUGGUUGAGGGCCAUCAAGAACCAUACCUCCUUUGCUGGAACCAGUCACAAAACCAGGUACAGGUUGCUCUGAGCCAAGUGGCAGGCCCUGAGACUGUCUUAAGGGCUGCCACCCAUGGGCUGAUUCUCGGAGCCCUGCAGGAAGAUGGGCCACUUCCAGGGGAGCUGGCAGAGCUGAGGGACAGGGUUCAGGCUGGUCCUAAGAACGAAAGCUGGAUUCUUGUCAGGGAGACCCAUCAAGUGUUGGACACACUGUUCCCAAAGUUCUUGAAAGGACUGCAGGCUGCUGGCUGGAAGACCGAGAAGCACCAUCUAGAGGUGGAUGAGUGGAGGGCCACGUGGCCCCUGUCUCCAGAAAAGAAGGUCUUAUGAGCAGCCAGGCUCCAAGCCCAGAACUCAAGACAGGAGCCCGGAGACCAGGGUGGAGCCUGGAGCAAUGACAUUUCAGCCACAGCAGGAUGUUAGAAGGGCAGCUUUAUUUUUGCAUAGGCAAACAUCUAUGACAAAUUGGCCACCAUCUUGUGGGAAGUGACAACCAAUCAAAUGGACUGGACCCCAGAACCAGAGCAAGCACUGGCGGAGCAGGCCUGGAGCUGGGGACUGGACCUCUGGAAGAAAUGGGGAGCACACAGCUAGUCUGAAGGGAGUCAGCUCCCUGAGCUUCCCAGGAUGCUUUCCCGGGGUAUGCCUUACCUUCAAUCCCCAUUGCACAUUCCUGGCACCCGUUCUGCACAGGAGGAGGGGCUGGACCCUCUAACUCUUCAGCAUCCAGAUCCUCCCGCUCCUCCUUGCUGUGCCGGAGACUGAAAACCAGGCGGUGGAGCUGGGAAGUUAGGGAGAAGGGACCAGGUGGGAGUUGUGCCCUCCACCCCAGGUCCACACUGGCACACAGCUUUGUCACUGCUCUCCCCAGCCUCCCUUCUGGCCUGCACACAUGCCUCGGCUCCGCUCACUCGGACUCCUCUUUCCAGGAUAGUCUUUGCCUUCACACUGAACCCCAAGAUCUUCAUCUAGUAUUAAAGCCUUCACCCCUGCCCAAUCCCAUGUUUCACCCCAAGUUUUAUGUCUACACCCAGAAUUGUAGUUCUUCAGACUGGUCUCAAGUUCUGAUACUGCAUAUUCCCAUUGUCAUUUGCUCUGCUCCCUCAAAAUGUCAGUUAAGUAAAUGUGCUUGCCCUGGAAACAGCUUCAUCCUG
rnacentral:lncRNA from 1 species